rnacentral:rRNA from 1 species
UAGGGAAUCUUCGGCAAUGGACGGAAGUCUGACCGAGCAACGCCGCGUGAGUGAAGAAGGUUUUCGGAUCGUAAAGCUCUGUUGUUAGAGAAGAACGUUGGUAGGAGUGGAAAAUCUACCAAGUGACGGUAACUAACCAGAAAGGGACGGCUAACUACGUGCCAGCAGCCGCGGUAAUACGUAGGUCCCGAGCGUUGUCCGGAUUUAUUGGGCGUAAAGCGAGCGCAGGCGGUUCUUUAAGUCUGAAGUUAAAGGCAGUGGCUAAACCAUUGUACGCUUUGGAAACUGGAGGACUUGAGUGCAGAAGGGGAGAGUGGAAUUCCAUGUGUAGCGGUGAAAUGCGUAGAUAUAUGGAGGAACACCGGUGGCGAAAGCGGCUCUCGGGUCUGUAACUGACGCUGAGGCUCGAAAGCGUGGGGAGCAAACAGG